rnacentral:lncRNA from 1 species
UCAUGUAUGUAGAUUUACAUGUAGGUAUAUGUAAAUAUUUUCAUAACAUCGUACAUGAAGUAGUCUAGAGUUUCAUUGUUGUUGUGGAACUAUAGGGGUGAAUAGACAUCUCGUUGCUACAGAGAAUCAUGUAUUGUACAUACAUGACAUAUACAUGUACAUGUAUGCCUUGCCUCUUCUUGUAUUAGCCAUUGCAAAAGAUUGGAAUCAAGCUGAAAUAAAAACAAAUACAAAUAGGUAAAAUAUUCAUUAUUGCUUUAAAAUUUUUACAUAUACAAUGUAGCAUAAAGGCUUCAUGUCACGUCCACUUGUAUUUUUGUCCAUCUAAUGAGUUAACCUUUUUCAACUGAUUUUUAUAGUUCGUUCUCAAGUUGUACUGUUAUACCACUGUCCCAGGUUAGGGGAGGGUUGGGAUCCCGCUAACAUGUUCAACCCCGCCACAUUAUUUACGUUUGUGCCUGUCCCAAGUCAGUAGCCUGUAAUUCAGUGGUAAUCGUUUGUUUAUGUGUUACAUAUUUGUUUUUCGUUCAUUUUUUUUAUAUAAAUAAGGCCGUUUGUUUUCUCGUUUGAAUUGUUUUACAUUGUCUUAUUGGGGCCUUUUAUAUGGGGUAUGGGCUUUGCUCAUUGUCGAAGGCUGCGCGGUGACCUAUAGUUGUUAAUGUCUGUGUCAUUUUGGUCUCUUGUGGACAGUUGUCUCAUUGGCAAUCAUACCACAUCUUCUUUUUUAUAUAUUCAUGUCUAAAAUCUUUAUGUAUUAGUUUUGUCCAUGUUCAUUGAGGCCCUUAUAAUUACAUUUGUAAUGCUUAAAUUAUUUAGGGUCCCAAGUCAGGAUCGUCUGGCCUUUGUUAGUCUUGUAUGAUUUUCAAUUAUAGAUUCUUGUGUAUAAUUCUAACUUAAGUUAAGUAUGACAUGAACUCCAUAAUCAUUGAACUUGUAACUUUUGUUUUGGGGUCAAUUGAAGCAAGCCUUCAUGUUUGAGAGUUUCUCUCUGCAUUUAAGACCAUUUGGUGGCCUUCGGCUGUUCUCAGCUCUUUGGUCGUG